UACAGAGGGUGCGAGCGUUAAUCGGAAUUACUGGGCGUAAAGCGCACUAGGCGGCUUGGUAUGUUGGGUGUGAAAUCCCCGGGCUCAACCUGGGAACUGCAUCCGAAACUGCCUUGCUCGAGUAUGGGAGAGGGAAGUGGAAUUUCCGGUGUAGCGGUGAAAUGCGUAGAUAUCUGGAGGAACACCGGUGGCGAAGGCGGCAUCCUGGACCGACACUGACGCUGAGGAGCGAAAGCUAGGGGAGCAAACGGGG
rnacentral:rRNA from 1 species